rnacentral:misc_RNA from 1 species
GAUGAAGAACGCAGCGAAAUGCGAUAAGUAAUGUGAAUUGCAGAAUUCAGUGAAUCAUCGAAUCUUUGAACGCACAUUGCGCCCGCCGGUAUUCCGGCGGGCAUGCCUGUCCGAGCGUCAUUUCACCACUCAAGCCCGGCUUGGUGUUGGGGCGCCCGGCCGCCUGGCGGUCGGGGCCCCGUCUGCCGGAAGACCUGCUCGCAAGGUUGACCUCGGAUCAGGCAGGGAUACCCGCUGAACUUAAGCAUAUCAAUAAGCGGAGGA